GACAGAGGUGCCGAGCGUUAGGCGGAAUCACUGGGCUUAAAGCGUGUGUAGGCGGAUGCCUAAGUACCUUGUGAAAUCCCACGGCUUAACCGUGGAACUGCUUGGUAUACUGGGUGUCUUGAGCCACUUAGGGGCGACCGGAACAAACGGUGGAGCGGUGAAAUGCGUAGAUAUCAGGAAGAACACCCGUGGCGAAGGCGGCUCUCUGGGACGGUACUGACGCUGAGACGCGAAAGCGUGGGGAGCGAACAGG
rnacentral:rRNA from 1 species